UACGGAGGGUGCAAGCGUUGUCCGGAAUCACUGGGCGUAAAGGGCGCGUAGGCGGCUCAUGAAGGCUGUGGUGAAAGUCCGGGGCUCAACCUCGGAUCGGCCGUGGCGACUCGUGGGCUGGAGCACUGUAGAGGCGGGUGGAAUUUCGGGUGUAGCGGUGGAAUGCGUAGAGAUCCGGAAGAACACCAGUGGCGAAGGCGGCCCGCUGGGCAGUGGCUGACGCUGAGGCGCGACAGCGUGGGGAGGCGAACAGG
rnacentral:rRNA from 1 species